rnacentral:rRNA from 1 species
AGAGUUUGAUCCUGGCUCAGAACGAACACUGGCGGCGUGGAUUAGGCAUGCAAGUCGAGCGGGAUUACCUUUUUUCAAUUCUUCGGAAGAGAAGUUUGGUAUGAGAGCGGCGAACGGGUGAGUAAUAUAUGGGUAAUUUGCCUUGGAGCUCGGGAUAGCCAUCCGAAAGGGUGGGUAAUACCGAAUGUGCUCGGGUACCGCAUGGUACCUUAUGUAAAGGUGGGGAUCUUCGGACCUGCCACUCCUAGAUAGGCCCAUAUCCUAUCAGCUUGUUGGUAAGGUAAUGGCUUACCAAGGCUUACGGGUAGCCGACCUGAGAGGGUGACCGGCCACACUGGGACUGAGACACUGCCCAGACUCCUACGGGAGGCUGCAGUCGAGAAUCAUUGUCAAUGCACGAAAGUGUGAACAUGCGACGCCGCGUGGAGGACGACGGCCUUCGGGUUGUAAACUCCUGUCCUGAGGGAGUAAUUGUACGACGGUUAAUACCUGUUGUAUUUGAUAGUACCUCAGAAGAAAGUCACGGCUAACUCUGUGCCAGCAGCCGCGGUAAUACAGAGGUGGCAAGUGUUGUUCGGAUUUACUGGGCGUAAAGGGUCCGCAGGCGGUCCUGUGUGUCGGAUGUGAAAGCUCACGGCUUAACCGUGGAAUUGCAUUCGAAACUACAGGACUAGAGUACAGGAGGGGAGCAGGGAAUUCAUGGUGUAGCGGUGAAAUGCGUAGAUAUCAUGAAGAACACCGGUGGCGAAGGCGCUGCUCUGGACUGAUACUGACGCUCAUGGACGAAAGCUGGGGUAGCGAAGAGGAUUAGAUACCCUCGUAGUCCCAGCCGUAAACGGUGUGCACUUGUUGUUGGAGGUUUACCCCCUUCAGUGACGGAGCUAACGCGUUAGUGCACCGCCUGGGAAGUACGGCCGCAAGGUUAAAACUCAAAGGAAUUGACGGGGGCCCGCACAAGCGGUGGAGCAUGUGGCUUAAUUCGAUGCAACGCGAAGAACCUUACCAGGGCUUGACAUGUGACUGCAUAUGACCCGAAAGGGACAUAGCCUUCGAGGGUGUCACACAGGUGCUGCAUGGCUGUCGUC